UUUGAAGCCUCAAGCCCCUCUCUUGCUUCAAACCACCAUCUCUCCUCUGUUCUCUCCCUUCUUCCCUCUCUAUGCCUUCAAAGUAAACCAAACAGUCUCAAAGCCAUGGACCAACACAAGACCGACGACAAUCUCCGUUACGUAGGUGGCCUCACACGUGUUCUCGCCGCUGAUGCCUCCAUUUCCUUUGCAGAUCUGUCCUGUGUUCCCAAUUUUCAACUCGGAUCUCUUGUUCGCAGAUGCCGACGACGAUGAUUUUUCCAUAGCCAAAGGGGUUGCCGAUUCCUCUUCCUCUCUACGGCCGCCAUUGAAGAAGUUCUUCUUUGAAGAGCGGGAUACGCCGAACUCAUCAACACCUUUUACAGCAGCAAGGAGAUCUUUCUCUGUGAGCUCAUCAGUGACGUCUCUGAUUCGUGAUAGGCAUAUUUGCUUUGGUUGCUUUGGUCAUACAAGUACGCGGAUCUCUUUAAGGAAAAGCUUGAGAUUUGUCUUGACAAGGAAGAUGAAAUGGACUAUCUUGUGGCUGGAUCAAAUUUUCUGCUUAAGGUGGGAUCCUAAUACCGCAUACAUAGAUUGGCAGUUCACACCAAAGCAUUCACAUACAUAGAUGGUCAUAAGGAAUUUGUGCAUAUUGACCAUGAUGAUCUAUAUCCCUAUAUGCUUGUUAAUAUUGGUUCUGGUGUCAGUAUGAUCAAGGUAGAUGGACCUGGUAAGUUUGAGCAAGAGGAACCAAUGUUGGUGGUGGCACCUUAUGGGGUUUGCAACAGGCCAAUUUUGGCUUUUUGGGUGGUUGCGGGUCUAAUAUAUGACUUUUGUAAAUUUCAACAAGUUGGUAUUUCCUUUUGCCUUUGCGAUUGUAUCUGGUGGACAAUUGGAGGUGGCAGCAAAGGAUAUCGAAUCUCUUGUUAGGGUUUUUUGGAUUUUUUUGUAUGAAAUGGUAUUUACAAUGUUUUUCUAUGAAAUUGUAUUAAGAAUGUUUUUCUAUGAAAUUGUAUUAACAAUAUACUUCUAUAGCAUGGUAUUAACAAUAUACU